rnacentral:rRNA from 1 species
CCACCGCGGUUAGACGAGAGGCCCUAGUUGACUAUACACGGCGUAAAGGGUGGUUAAGGAUUUAUUAAAAUAAAGCCAAAUGGCCCUUUGGCCGUCAUACGCUUCUAGGUGUCCGAAGCCCUUACACGAAAGUAGCUUUAAUAAAAUACCUGACCCCACGAAAGCUGAGAAACAAACUGGGAUUAGAUACCCCACUAUGCUCAGCUGUAAACUUAGACAUUCAAAUACAAUCAAAUGUCCGCCAGGGUACUACGAGCAUUAGCUUAAAACCCAAAGGACCUGACGGUGUCUCAGACCCCCCUAGAGGAGCCUGUUCUAGAACCGAUAACCCCCGUUAAACCUCACCACUCCUAGUCACCCCAGCCUAUAUACCGCCGUCGUCAGCUUACCCUGUGAAGGCAACAAAAGUAAGCAAAAUGGACACAACCCAGAACGUCAGGUCGAGGUGUAGCGCAUGAAGUGGGAAGAAAUGGGCUACAUUUUCUGCAACAGAAUAUUACGAACAUGCACUAUGAAAUAAUGCUUGAAGGAGGAUUUAGUAGUAAAAAGGAAAUAGAGUGUCCCUUUGAACCCGGCUCUGAGACGCGUACACACCGCCCGUCACUCUCCCCUGUCAAAACGCACUAAAAAUAUAUAAUUAACUAGCACCGACAAGGGGAGGCAAGUCGUAACACG